GCGGGCAGUUCUUUUACUCCGCCGCUGGAUAAAGAGGAACUAUGGAAUUGAAAGCAGUAUUGGUAUUACCACAUUACCAAAUGAAUUCUAUGACCUAUGAAGAUGCUGUAGGAUAAAGGUUGUUGAUUAAAUUCAAGCAACAGCUGGAAUGGAUUUUGCACAACUUCGUCAGUCUCUGAUUCUGCUAAAUCAGUGAUCGUGAUGGUCAGCUGGAGAGAGCUGCUUUUCCUUGCAUUACAGAAAAGACGAGUGCGAAGAAACCAAAUGGGAACAGGAGUUGAAGCCUUCUCAUGAGACGUCAGAACCUUCAUGACCUUAAAUGAGUCUCAAAUAUUUGAGGAAACUAGUUGGGGAAUUUGUAGUGCAAUAAAAUAAAGAUUCCUUAAAUGUUUAUGUGCA